rnacentral:rRNA from 1 species
AUGGAGUACGUCAACCCUCUCACCUGCUUCCGCGUCGACGGCCGCCGCCCCAACGAGAUGCGGCAGCUCAAGGGCGAGGUCGGCGUCGUCUCCAGGGCUGACGGCUCGGCGCUCUUCGAGAUGGGCAACACCAGGGUCAUCGCCGCCGUCUACGGGCCACGGGAGGUGCGUUGUGAGUAUAGAAUGGCAGAAUUUAGCACUGGGGAUCGAAGGAGAAAGCCAAAAGGUGACAGGCGAUCAACAGAGAUUUCUCUUGUUAUUCGACAAACAAUGGAGGCAAGCAUAUUAACACAUUUAAUGCCACACUCACAGAUUGACAUAUUUGUCCAAGUUCUUCAAGCUGAUGGUGAUCUGAAUUACAUAGAAGACAGUGCUGGAGGUGUGGAUGUCACCGUUGACAUUCUUGCAAAGAUGGACAAAGUGACUCUUCUGCAGAUGGACGCGAAACUACCAAUGGACACAUUCGAGACUGUCAUGGACCUUGCAACUGAAGGGUGCAAAGCGAUCGCAACCUACAUCCGGGAGGUGCUAUUGGAGAACACGAAGCAGCUGGAGUGUCAGCGAGGCUAG